GAUUCUGGCUCAGGAUGAACGCUAGCUACAGGCUUAACACAUGCAAGUCGAGGGGCAUCAUGACGAUAGCUUGCUAUGUGAUGGCGACCGGCGCACGGGUGAGUAACGCGUAUCCAACCUUCCCCUUAGUAGGGCAUAGCCCGGCGAAAGUCGGAUUAAUACCCUAUGUUAUUCGUAGAGGACAUCUGAAAUGAAUCAAAGAUUUAUCGCUAAGGGAUGGGGAUGCGUCCGAUUAGGUAGUCGGCGGGGUAACGGCCCACCGAGCCUUCGAUCGGUAGGGGUUCUGAGAGGAAGGUCCCCCACACUGGUACUGAGACACGGACCAGACUCCUACGGGAGGCAGCAGUGAGGAAUAUUGGUCAAUGGGCGUAAGCCUGAACCAGCCAAGUAAGCGUGCAGGAUGACGGCCCUAUGGGUUGUAAACUGCUUUUAUACGGGGAUAAAGUGAGGGACGUGUCCCUUAUUGUAGGUACCGUAUGAAUAAGGACCGGCUAAUUCCGUGCCAGCCGCCGC
rnacentral:rRNA from 1 species